CAGUUCCCCUGUCCUACCUGAAUGGACUCUUGACCACCUGAUCGAGGAACUGAGUUCAUCAGCAAACAAGGAAGGGGGAGAGCAAGAAUCAGCAAGUGAGGCCACAGACAUGGAGGAGACUCAGGCCGGAGACGACCUUCAGUCUGCUGAACCAGCAAGCUGGGUUGUGGCUUAUGGCCAGAUGUGGCAGGAGAUGACCGAACAAGUCCCUUGCAGCAUGCCCAUCAUGUGCU